UAGCUCAGUUGGUUAGAGCACCACCUUGACAUGGUGGGGGUCGUUGGUUCGAAUCCAAUCGUGC
rnacentral:antisense_RNA from 14 species